GUAUCCUGGCUCAGGAUGAACGCUAGCUACAGGCUUAACACAUGCAAGUCGAGGGGCAGCGGGAUUGAAGCUUGCUUCAAUUGCCGGCGACCGGCGCACGGGUGAGUAACGCGUAUCCAACCUUCCGUACACUCAGGGAUAGCCUUUCGAAAGAAAGAUUAAUACCUGAUGGUAUCUUAAGCACACAUGUAAUUAGNUUAAGAUUUAUCGGUGUACGAUGGGGAUGCGUUCCAUUAGGUAGUAGGG
rnacentral:rRNA from 1 species